rnacentral:rRNA from 1 species
UACGGGGGGGAUAAGCGUUGUUCGGAAUUACUGGGCGUAAAGGGCUCGUAGGCGGCCAACUAAGUCGGACGUGAAAUCCCUCAGCUUAACUGGGGAACUGCGUCCGAUACUGGAUGGCUUGGAUUUGGGAGAGGGAUGCGGAAUUCCAGGUGUAGCGGUGAAAUGCGUAGAUAUCUGGAGGAACACCGGUGGCGAAGGCGGCAUCCUGGACCAAUAUUGACGCUGAGGAGCGAAAGCCAGGGGAGCAAACGGG